CUCCGUAAAGGUGACCUGCGGAGGGAUCAUUACACAAAUAUGAAGGCGGGCUGGAACCUCUCGGGGUUACAGCCUUGCUGAAUUAUUCACCCUUGUCUUUUGCGUACUUCUUGUUUCCUUGGUGGGUUCGCCCACCACUAGGACAAACAUAAACCUUUUGUAAUUGCAAUCAGCGUCAGUAACAAAUUAAUAAUUACAACUUUCAACAACGGAUCUCUUGGUUCUGGCAUCGAUGAAGAACGCAGCGAAAUGCGAUAAGUAGUGUGAAUUGCAGAAUUCAGUGAAUCAUCGAAUCUUUGAACGCACAUUGCGCCCUUUGGUAUUCCAAAGGGCAUGCCUGUUCGAGCGUCAUUUGUACCCUCAAGCUUUGCUUGGUGUUGGGCGUCUUGUCUCUAGCUUUGCUGGAGACUCGCCUUAAAGUAAUUGGCAGCCGGCCUACUGGUUUCGGAGCGCAGCACAAGUCGCACUCUCUAUCAGCAAAGGUCUAGCAUCCAUUAAGCCUUUUUUUCAACUUUUGACCUCGGAUCAGGUAGGGAUACCCGCUGAACUUAAGCAUAUCAAAAGGCGGGAGGAA
rnacentral:rRNA from 1 species